GCGCUUGAAUGCGGCGUCCGGUAAAACGCGGACUGGAUACUGAGGUAAAACAUGACUUUGUUUAACUGACGAACUAAACCGAGAUCUGUAAUAGAAUAUUAGCGGAAUAACCAAUUACAUCUUUACGCUAAACGUUGAAAUGUUGUUUAGAUUUAAACGAACGGAAUUAAAAACAAAGUCCGGAUCCGCCUGAAGAGGAAGUCCAGUCCGGGUUUAACGGUCGUUACUGUGAGCGGAAGCGCUCGAGUGUAAACACAGCGCAGGUAAACACGACCUAUCGUUAAAACUUCUGCUUCACGCAGUUAAAGACUUCAGUAAAGUGGUUUGCUGAAGUCUCACAGAGAUAGCGAACAGCUCCGAGUCGAGUUUCACAUCGUGUUUCUGUCGGUUUCGCGUGCGGGAUCUCUUCAGCUGUGUUUCAGUGGCAUGGAGAGUUACGAAGAUUUCAUCCGGAGCCGUUAUAACCCUCAUGAUGAUGAAGAUGAAGAUGAUGAAGAACCCGUCACGCCUUCAUCAGUGAUCGUGUUUCGUGGAGCUCGUGUUCUUCCUCCUCUGCUUAAUGAGCUGCAGCGAGACGAGAUGAGACGACUGAGAGAAGCAGCUGUGAGUCUGAUGAUGAAGAUGAAGAGGAGGAGAGAGGAAGAGUCUCGCAUCAGCUUCACAGACGUGAGGAUCAGUGGCGCUGAGCGACACACAGACCAGAGUGAUGACAUCACAGACUGUGACAUCAUCUCGUCCGCUCCUCUGACGUCAACCGCUCACGACGGCCGACCGGCCAAUCAGCUGAGAGCGUCUCCGGAGGACGAUUCGCUGGAAAACACCCAGAUCACGGCUCUGUUCGAGAAACACGAGACCCAGAGUCCUCGGGAUGCACCGGACAGUCACUCUCACAGCCAGAUGCUGGCGAUGAUGUCAUCGGGCUACGUGACCAAUGACAACACAGACGUCAGCGGUCACUCCGGCUGGAUCCGCUUAGAUACGACACGGGCAGGAAGUGACAUCAUCAGUCACGCGCCAGUAGAUGGAGCGAUUUUAGAGGAGGAGAUUGUAGCACCACUUCCAAAGCCGGCGGAAGAUGUAGAACCAGUACCAUCUGACCCGGAUGAAUUUCCGUAUCGAAUGAGCCUUCAAAACCUACUCAAGAAAUCCCAGGAGUACCGGCGUCGCCAGCGUCUGCUGCGCAGUCAGGCCAGAGCCGCGGAGGAGCACAACCUGUCCGAUAAAGAGAACGAGGAGCUCCUUCCCAAACAGAUGUGGAGGAAAGCCAGAGAGAAGACGGAGGGAGACGCCAGCACAGAUCGCACGAAUGACGAACAUAACGCUCUUCCUCAGGCCGUCUCCUCAGAACUUCCUGUUACGGCCAGAUCCCUGUACGGCUCCAAACAGAAGCCCGCCGGUGUGUCCAGAUGGUCCUCAGCUGCGAGAUUCACAAACAUCCCCACGCCCAAGUUCUGCUUAAGUCCUGUACGCUGCAAAAAACGGAGCAGGAUUCCCGGUCCGGUUUGGAAAGCUUUGGGCAAACCGGCUCAGACCGACCCAAUUGGUCCGUCUGAUCAGUGCGACAAAGUGAUGAUGAUGUCAUCGCAGACGGAGCAGAUCACACAGCUAGAGCUGAACCUGUCUAGCCUCAAAGCGCUGAUCUCUGACCUGGAGUCGACGCUCACGCUCUCACAGACGGGGAGUCCCACCGACGACGGCCAGAAACGGCCCUCCACCGUCACUUUCAGCGAAACCGUCACCGCUAAAAAUUGUGGGGUCGGUCAAGAGAGCCCCACCUCCAUCCGUUCGGUCGUGGGCGUCCUCGCAGACACCAGCAAUCGUUCUGUGGAUGAAGCGGGAAGCUCUGUGAUUGGCUCGUCUUACGACGUAGACGUCCCGUCUGGCCUGUGGAAGCAGCUGACCCCUGAGACGGGAGGUCACGAGGUCACGUCUCGGGUCAAACGGAGGCUCCUGAUGAACGAGGACGACGCGUUCGGUCCUGGACGAGAGACGGGAAGCAUACUCUCCAGCACACCCAGAUUGAUGUCCUCAGGGCUGCAGUCGUCUGCGCAGAUGCAGGAGGAUCAGGUGACGGCUCUGAUGGAGGAAGAGCGCAGACGACAGCAGGAACUACUGCAGUCUUUAGCGGUGCGGUACCAGUUUCUGCGGAGCAUGUCCUUCCCGUGUCCCGGCGCAGGCUCACGUCUGGAGGACACGCCGACCUCCUUCACCGCCUCAUCUGUCUGCACACACGCUGAGCUUACAGACGCGCACAACACCUCACGGGUAACACACUCACUCACACACACACACACACACACACACACACACACUCUCUCUCUCUCACACACACUCUCUCACACACACACACACACACACACUCACAC
ensembl:lncRNA